UGGGAACGUACCCUUCGGUUCGGAAUAACCCGGGGAAACUCGGGCUAAUACCGGAUACGUCCGCAAGGAGAAAGAUUUAUCGCCGAAGGAUCGGCCCGCGUCGGAUUAGCUAGUUGGUGAGGUAACGGCCCACCAAGGCUACGAUCCGUAGCUGGUCUGAGAGGAUGAUCAGCCACACUGGGACUGAGACACGGCCCAGACUCCUACGGGAGGCAG
rnacentral:rRNA from 1 species